GGAAUAUUGGACAAUGGGCGGAAGCCUGAUCCAGCAACGCCGCGUGAGGGAUGACGGCCUUCGGGUUGUAAACCUCUUUCAGUACCGCCGCAGCGAAAGUGACGGUAGGUACAGAAGAAGGACCGGCCAACUCAGUCCCAGCAGCCGGGGUAAUACGUAGGGACCGAGCGUUGUCCGGAAUUAUUGGGCGUAAAGGGCUCGUAGGCGGUUUGUCGCGUCGGGAGUGAAAACCAUGGGCUUAACUCAUGGCUUGCUUUCGAUACGGGCAGACUAGAGGUAUGCAGGGGAGAAUGGAAUUCCUGGUGUAGCGGUGAAAUGCGCAGAUAUCAGGAGGAACACCGGUGGCGAAGGCGGUUCUCUGGGCAUUACCUGACGCUGAGGAGCGAAAGUGUGGGGAGCGAAC
rnacentral:rRNA from 1 species